rnacentral:lncRNA from 1 species
AAUUUAGGAAAUCAUUGGCCUCAAUAUCACCCUGAAUGACUGUCAUCUUUCCUCCCUGGGAGUGCAUUGACAGGAAUAAUGAUGCACAGGUAAAAGAGCUGCCUUUAUCCAUUCUGUGAGGCCUCUGAACAACAAGUACACCAAAUCCAAUUGAUGCCUGCAUUCUGUUGGCCUCUCACUUCAAAUCCAUGUUCAGCCUUUUUAGAAGGCUUUAUACCAUUGUGGCUGUGUUAGAGAAGGUACUGUUAAUCUGCAGAGUUUGUGCAAAGAGAUCUGAAGUGGCUGCAUGAGAACCCCUCUUGGAAGGGUGAGUAUUGAGGAGUGGAUCACAAAAACACACAGUCUGGCUUUG